AAUCGGAACAACUUGGGUUUUCCCAUGAUAUAGAAAAACUACCGAUAGUCUCCGAUAUAAUAUUGUGACCAACAAAAUCCAACAUGGCAGCCUCCAUAAUAUAUGAUAUUCAAUUAAAUUUUCAACUGCAAUUUGUUAGAGGGUCACAGAGUGUUUGUGGUGUUGCCAACGGAAUGUUUGCACAGGACUUCCUGAAUUAUUCAAAAAGGAACACUAUAAAAGCCGUUUUGGUUAUCUCUCCAUUGGUACCUCUGAUGAAAGACUAGAGAGAACAAUUUGUUCAACAAGGAAAAGAGUGGGUAUCGUGGAGAAAAACUAGAUAAAGAAAAAUCCAGCUAGAUCGGCAUGACAGAAGAGAGCAGAUAACUGAAAACACUGGAAAUGUUCAUGCAUGCUCAAGACGAGAACAAAUCAACACUGAAUACAAUAGAAAAAUCCAGCUAGAUCGGCAUGACAGAAGAGAGCAGAUAACUGAAAACACUGGAAAUGUUCAUGCAUGCUCAAGACGAGAACAAAUCAACACUGAAUACAAUAGAAAAAUCCAGCUAGAUCGGCAUGACAGAAGAGAGCAGAUAACUGAAUACACUGGAAAUGUUCAUGCAUGCUCAAGACGAGAACAAAUCAACACUGAAUACAAUAGGCAUGUGUGGAACAGGGCAGACAAGUAUUGUGAAGUAUGAGUAUAUUUCAUCACACAUGAUCUUAAAUUAGUUAAAUAUGAGUGAUAAAACAUGAUGCAAAAAAUACUGAAAAUUGGCGCAAGUUACUUUCUGGUCGUAUGCCCGGUUUGCCUCGUGGCCCAUGAGGCAUAAAGAUUGUAAUUUGAUCUUAACAUGAAAUAGGCAAAAGUAGAAUAGGGAAAAUAUUAUUUUUGAAGUAUGAUUUUAUUUUAUUCACGUAUGAAUUAAAAUUCUUGAUAAAACUUGAUGAAAAGAUAUUGGAACAUGUUUCGUUUUUGUCGUAUGCCCGGGACGUAUGCCUGGUAUAGCCUCUUGGUCCUCUCAUUUAUAA